GCCCUCGUAGCUCAGGGGAUAGAGCGCCGGCCUCCGGAGCCGGGUGCGCAGGUUCGAAUCCUGCCGGGGGCGCCA
rnacentral:tRNA from 1 species